GACGAACGCUGGCGGCGUGCUUAACACAUGCAAGUCGAACGGAAAGGCCCUGCUUUUGUGGGGUGCUCGAGUGGCGAACGGGUGAGUAACACGUGAGUAACCUGCCCUUGACUUUGGGAUAACUUCAGGAAACUGGGGCUAAUACCGGAUAGGAGCUCCUGCUGCAUGGUGGGGGUUGGAAAGUUUCGGCGGUUGGGGAUGGACUCGCGGCUUAUCAGCUUGUUGGUGGGGUAGUGGCUUACCAAGGCUUUGACGGGUAGCCGGCCUGAGAGGGUGACCGGGCACAUGGGGACUGAGAGACGGACCAGACGCCUACGGGAGGCAGCAGGGGGGAAUAUUGCACAAUGGGCGGAAGCCUGAUGCAGCAACGCCGCGUGCGGGAUGACGGCCUUCGGGGUGUAAACCGCUUUCGCCUGUGACGAAGAGUGAGUGACGGUAAUGGGUAAAGAAGCACCGGCUAACUACGUG
rnacentral:rRNA from 1 species